ensembl:lncRNA
AACGGUAUUUGCCCUGGAAAAUGUGUAUCAGUUCUUUCAAGAUGAAAAUUCAUUAAGGCGAAUGCCGUUCUGAUGACAAUACCUUAUUCAAACAUCCAGAGACAAACAUUCUCAGCGUCAAGCAGUGGGACCCAAUCAUCCUAUAUUAAAAAUACCGCGGCAGAGAUGUGGCUGAGCUUGUCGGUGUCUACCCAGAACCCAUCGCCUCUGUGUUGUUUAUCCACUGCCAAAGAGCCUAUGUUACACAUCAUCUUUAAUCAAUUUACUGUAGUUCUUUUAAACAUUCUGGAAAAUUUAGUUUGAACCUCAAACUUAAUUUGGCAUUUAGACUUAGAGGCAAUAAACAAACAUUUAUUGAUCAUCUACUAUCUGCUUCUGCUCUGUUAGCAGCUGUGGGCAUUCGUCCAAGAAGACCCAAUCCUUGAUUUCAGGGAACACAAAAUCAAAUUGGAGACUAGAGACACAUGAGGGCGUAAUUGAGAAGAUAAGAGAAUAUAUGAUAGAUAAUGAAUGAGCAGCAAUUCAGAGUCGUGAAAACACUCUUUUUUUUUGUUUUUUUGGUGAGGAAGCUUGGCCCUGAGCUAGCAUCUAUUGCCAAUCUUCCUCUUUUUUUUUUUUCUCCCCAAAGCCCCAGUGCAUAGUUGUAUAUCCUAGUUAUAAGUCCUUCUAAUUCUUAUACCUGGGAUGCCACCACAGCAUGGCUUGAUGAGCGGCGCUAGGUCCACACCCAGGAUCCGAACCGGUGAACCCUGGGCCACUGAAGCAGAGUGAACUGAUCUGAAGGUUGACGCCCAUCAGUCUACAUGAGACUUUAUUCCACAGAUAACAGACAACCGUGGAGGAUUUUCAGCGUAGUAAUUGUGCAGUGUCAAGAUGACCCUGAUAACAAGAGCAGUGACGCUUUAUUGACUGGACCAAGUGCCUUGUGUGUGUCAACUUGUUCAACUCUCAUCAUCUAAAGAUCGGGUAAUAUUAGCUCCAUCUGUAUUGACUGAAGCUCUAAGAGGCUAAGGAAAUUACUCAAAUCACACAGUUAUCAAACGGCUUAGCCAAGACUUGAACCCUGGUGUGUUUUAAUUCAAUUUCUGUACUUCCCUCCCUCGGGGAUUCACUGGUGGUGACAAGAAGCAUGGACAGGACAACACUUGGACCAUUUGCAGCCCUUACGCUUGGGUGUCUGAAAUAUGAAAAUGCAGAUUUGCCAAUCUGUGACUCAAGCAGAGACUUAGUGAUGAAAAGACAUACACUUCCUCUCACCAUGUGUUUUCAACACUGCCUCUCCCGAGCCUGGGACCCCUCCAAGGAUGAAUUGCUUGGAAUAUGAGGACAAAAUGGAGAAGUGUUCCGUCCAUUACUGUAAGAUCAAGUCUGACUUCAUCUCCGUCUUCAAUUAAUCAUUCUCAAUCAGAUAACUCCAAGAGGUGUCAGGUUUUGCUCGAUGAACUCAAAAGGAAAAUCUGUUUCCUAUCCUCUUCAGACUUACUUAUCUGAAUAUUUGCGUUUAGUAUUUGACCAAUGCUAAUGUCUACUGUUGGGUGUCGUGAUAGUAAACCCACAAAUUCUUUCCAUCUUUAGACAAAUGUUUCACUGUGUAUUAAUUUUGAUUCAUCUCAAUAAUGGUGAUAAUAUAACAUUCAUUUGAGGUUUCGGUAGCUAGUACUUGCAUCUUGACACAAAUUGCUUUAUAAUUCAGUCUUUAUUUUCUGGUUGCCUGAAAUAGUAUCCUCAGUAGCUAAGGCCUUUCGUCAAAAAACUGCUCCCAAAUAUUGUGUUCUAAUGCCGCUUUAUUUGCUGUGGAGCAGAGUUUUAGUGAACUCAUGGAAGGUUUGAAAUCCAACGUCCAUCCACUGCUGAACCACCGGGAGCAAUAAAUGGCCUUUUCCUGUUGGUGAUUGAAUAACAGAGUGCAGCUGAGGCAUCUCGUAAUCACCAGGACCAAAUAUGCUACUGAAUGAAUUCUCCUACUGUGGGAGAAAUCUUUCUAACACACAGGAGGAAAGGAGGAAAGAAACCAGCCUCUCAAAGCUGUGGGCUGUGGCAGGACCGUGAUGGUUAUCUUCCUGGGGGAUCAUCAACAUCCCCUAAAGGUGGAAUGACUGGCUCAGCUGAAUGGGCCAGGGAACACGAAUCUGAAAUCAAACGUUGGUUGAAGGGCACAGUCAAUGAGGAAAGGCAGCGGAUGUAUGUGGACAAUCACGUGUGCCGGGGUGUAAGUUUGGUUCAUUUGGAAUUGAGAGCAGCUGAAUCUCCUUGUUGCUCAGUGAUCAACACAUCUUCUGGGAAAACCAUCCCGUUUCAGACAACUUCCAGCCUGAGGAUUCGGCAGGACUCUCUCCCUCUCACAUAAUUUCACUUCCUUAGCGUGUCACUGGAUGAGCAGCGUCAGCCUCCUGUGGAGCUCAUUAGAAAUGCGGGCUCUCAGGCUCCAUUGCAGACCUGUGGCAUCAGAAUCUGCUUUUUAGUAGGAUUCCAAGGUUAGUCAAGCCCUGGUUUUCCUGUUUGAAGCCUCAGCAGGAAUUCUGCUUCUUUUCUUCUGUCCUUUGGCUGAUCUUUUUGGCUGAUUGACCGCAACUCUGCCACAGGCACAGUCUGACGCAGGCCUGGUUAGCAGAGGUCUCCCUGAGAGGGAUCUCAUUGUCGUGAUCUACAGGAGCCAGGAAGAGGAGCCAGCCCUCGGAGGGGGCUGGUCAGCUGGGGCCAUGACAACAGGCCGCACUCAAAGGAACAGGUCCCCUUCAGCUCCAAAAGAUUGGCGUCAUCUGAGAAUGUGGACCCAGCGUGGGCAGAUUUUUCUAGUGUCUAGAAGUGACUGUGCAAACCCAAAACAAAACUAAAAAGACAUGUUUGUGGGCCACCAAGAACCUCUGGUAUGAAGUAAAUUAUACAGGCAUUGGACAGUAACAACCCAUCCAAGGGAGCUGUGGGCGGAGGUGUGGCAUCUGCUCAUUCCUGUUGUAGGGAGGUGAGCUCUACCACGGGGCAGUGGAGUGAACAAUGCCCGGAGAUUAUCCAAAACCCUUUGCUUUAAUUUUCCGCUCACCCAACAGACUUCUGCUUACUAAUUCAGGUUUACAACAAAGUUUAAAACCAGCAAGGGGGGGAUCUGGAUAAGGCACUAUACCUAUUUCGGUCCCCGGAAAGGGCUAUUCCUGCAUAUCAAUAAAUCAGCAUUCUGAUUUCCUACUGACCUCUUUGCUGAAUUUGUCUGCCUUGUAGAGCUUUGGGCAGCUCUGGGUAAGCUAACGAAAUAAAAUUCUGGUGCUGAAAAGCUGUUUGUGACCCUGAUCAACAGUGACCUAGGUUUGGUCACUGCUCCCUCUCCAGACACCAACCAGUGGGCUAUCUCUCUGUGAAUGUGGCAGGCACCAUUUUGCUGGGGAAGGAGGUUAAAUCUUCAGCCUUGUCAUAGACUCAGCUUUGUAAUUCAAGACUCUUUUCUCUCAUCCUUUGAUUUUCAGCCCCCAGACUUUUCUCUCCAUGUCCUUGCCCCCCGGCACUUCCAAUUGUCUAGCAACUAACUGUAUUUGGGCAUUCCCUGUCUUCCCAAAUUAUCUUUACUCUUCUUCCUUACUUCUUCAUCCUUCUCUUGUUUUAUUCCUUUCAUUACUUUUUGUUCUUUUAUUUUGCAAACUCACCUGCUUCCUCAGUGAUCUUUUUAAGAUCCCAUAUGUUACAGAUUCAUGAGGAUGGAAACAUUCCUUUAGAGCUGGGCUGACCAAUGUGGUAGCCGCUAGCUACACGUGAUUAUCGAACAUGUGAAAUGUGGCUUGUCUGAAAUGAGACGUGUGGUAAGCGUAAAAC